UUAGACCAACUGAGUAGUUGGAAAGAAGUUCUUGGCAAGCUUUCGGGUACAGUUACCCUUCUUCAGGCAUAGGGAAGGGUAUGCCUCCAAGACUCAUUCCUGGACUCUCUGUUAGUCUGAGACUCCAAGGAAUGAGAGAAGCUUUUAGCUAAAAGCCUCAGUUUUCUUGGGAAAAUCAUUUUGUUGUUUUUUUUGGGGGGGGGGUGUUCUUCAUUGUUUUUGAUUUUGGUUGAGACCCAUUGGGUCAAGUCAGAAGGGGUCUGGUGAGGGAUGGCCCACAGUCUUUAACUCAGGGAUAAGGAUUGGAAGCAGGCGGCAGAAAGCAACACCGGGCACACCCAUGCCACAACCUGAGGUGGCCCAGUGUAGGGUUACACAUCGGAGCUACAGUUGGCAUGAGGCAAAUGGAGCCAAAGAACUGGAGCAGUGACUGUGAACCAUAAAGCACUGUCAUCCACGGUUGGGAAGUGGACGGGGUGUGGGGGAGGUGGAGCCCUGAGUCAGCUGCAGCCAUACCAUGAGUACCCCUAUAGGGGCCCACCACACAGAACACUGAACCCAUUCCUUUCAAAGUAUCAUAAAGGUGUGGCAGGAGAAUUGGGGAAGGGCCCUGCCCAGGGCACUCAUGUGAUUAUUCACCAGUCAAGCCACAGUGUGACACCCAGUUUCACUGAAAUGCAUCAGGUGCUUAACUUCCUCUGAAAAUCCCAACCUAAAUCCCUGGGAAGGAGGUGCAUAAAAGCAGCCUCAUGAUGCAAUUAGCCAUAAAAUUGUGAUAGAAUUCAUCAUGUGACCUACCAACAACAGCUCUCUAAUCCUGCUCCAGCACACCAAACCACCCUGCUGCUUCCAGCUACUCCAGGCUACAUGUACCAAAAGCAAAGGACAGCCAGAGCUGUAAUGUUCUUCCUGACAACAGUGAUCACUGCAAAGCUCAGCUCCUACACCCUGAGAAGAAGGGGCAAUGCUGCUGCCAGGUCACUCCGGUACACCAGUAUCCCUUUUCUCUUCAUUUAUGUUCUCCUUUCAAGCAACUUAUUAUCACUUUAGUUCUGGUUUUCUGCUUUUCAAGCACAAAUAACCCUUCUUUGGUCCCCUGUGAAAACAAAUCUGCUACAACCACAAAGUGCUUCUUGAUUUUGUGAUCAUACAGAGAUAUGCAAUUUAUUUAACAAAAUAUACAUUCAAAAUACUUAAGAUUAGGGUGUAUUUGGACUAAGAAUGUCAUUGCCAAGUACAUUUUCAUGAUGAAAAAGAAGGAACCUAAAGAAGUGAGAACUACUGCAUCAGACCAGAAAAUUUCAGGCAUCUAUUAUUUCUUUGACAGCUGUAAACACUUCCUUAUUACCUAGCCUAAUACUAGUUGGAGUCAAGCACUGCUUUUCUAUAGGUGUAACCUUGUUACAUUUGAUUAGCAGAAAGUUUAAUUUUACCAUCUGAUGAAAGUAACCUUUAUCACAGCCUGCCCUUUACAUUUAAGGUCAUUUUCCUACAAUGGAAGGUCAUGGUCAUGGGAUGAAACUUCAACCCCUUGCUAGAUUGCCAUUUGAACCAUCACUUUUGGAAACUAAAAAGCAGUCAGUCAGCUUGGUGGGCUUUUGCCAAUGCAGACAUUUGGUUUAUAAGUCAUUAAAAAAAUAAAUAAACACCUAAGUGGAUUAUAAGAGAGUUUUUGUUAUUUUGCAACAAAGCUCUAUUGAAAGAGAGGGAGGGGAACCUUCUGUUAUGAUUGAGGCUGAUCUCAAAGCUUGUAACUUGUAAAAUAAUUAAAUCCACCAUCUGUAUGUUGGUACCUAUUUUUAGUAGCUUUUCUUUUUUCUUUUUUUUUUUUUUUUGACUGGAAACCAAGUUAACCUACUGCAGCUGCCAGGACAGGGUAAGAGUGGCAGUGUACCACGGGCGUGCAGUACAGCACGUUCUGUUUAGACUGGAGACCCUACCCUGCACAAAAGGCAGACCCACAACCAAAAAAAGUUCUGCUGGUUUUCUGCCUUGAGGAGGAUGUGCUCGCAUGAGCUUUUGACUGUAUUUUGCCCUUCUUUAGAAACUGAAUCAAGUCCCCACCUGGCAAAACCAGAUCACUGAACUUAAGAGAGCAAAAGGCUUGAAGAUUUUACCACCAUACUCAGGAACAUAGGGAUCUGCUGUAGGUGUUAAAACCCUGAAGAAUGAUGUAGUGAGGCUAAUGGUAAGAUGUAAUAAAAAAUGGAUUCAAAGUGUCCCCUACCAGAUGGGAAGCUCUCUCUCAGGGGCAGACUAAGCAAAACUAGUGCCUUGCAUGGAGAUGUUCUGCAGAUAAAGUCCUAGAAAGACCCGCAGGUGAGAAGGUUUGCAUUACGAUGUUAUUUGAAUUACCAAUAAAGAUUCAUAAAAGCA